CUGAAACGUAGGGAACAUUCUCAGUACCAACUGAAACGUAGGGAACAUUCCCAGUACCAACUGAAACAUAGGGAACAUUCCCAGUACCAACUGAAACGUAGGGAACAUUCUCAGUACCAACUGAAACAUAGGGAACAUUCUCAGUACCAACUGAAACGUAGGGAACAUUCUCAGUACCAACUGAAACGUAGGGAACACUCCCAGUACCAACUGAAAUGUAGGGAACAUUCCCAGUACCAACUGAAACGUAGGGAACAUUCCCAGUACCAACUGAAACGUAGGGAACAUUCUCAGUACCAACUGAAACAUAGGGAACAUUCUCAGUACCAACUGAAACGUAGGGAACAUUCUCAAUACCAACUGAAACAUAGGGAACAUUCUCAGUACCAACUGAAACGUAGGGAACAUUCUCAGUACUGAACCAUAUUUACCAGACAGUGACUGAAACGUAGGGAACAUUCUCAGUACCAACUGAAACGUAGGGAACAUUCUCAGUACCAACUGAAACGUAGGGAACAUUCUCAGUACCAACUGAAAGGUAGGGAACAUUCUCAGUACCAACUGAAACAUAGGGAUCAUUCCCAGUACAAACUGAAAUGUAGGGAACAUUCUCAGUACCAACUGAAACAUAGGGAACAUUCUCAGUACCAACUGAAAUGUAGGGAACAUUCUCAAUACCAACUGAAACGUAGGGAACAUUCUCAGUACCAACUGAAACGUAGGGAACAUUCUCAGUACCAACUGAAACGUAGGGAACAUUCCCAGUACUGAAGCAUAUUUCCCAGGCAUCGGCUGACUACUCUGAUAUAACUCACACGGAGCCCCUGCUGCAGCAGUUGAAUAGCUACCUGUGGUUCAAAUUCCAUUCUCCGCAGGGUGUGUUACCUCACCUUCUUACUGACGCCAAGCAGGACCUCCGCUCAAGGCAUUCAGAUGGGUGUGUGUGUGUGUGUGUGUGUGUGUGUGUGUGUGUGUGCGCGUGCUUGCAGCCAUGGGAAUUAGUUGUUGAUAAUCCUGGCAGACGGCGUGUCUCAGUUUUCCAGGAUCCUCGUUAGUUAACCAUCAGUCUGAAUGACAGGUCGGCCGUCACAUGUAAAUCACAUGUAAAUCACAUGUAAAUCACAUGUAAAUCACAUGUAAAUCUGGCUAUUUGUGUCAGAUGGCCGUUUCAGGAUGAGGCAAGAGGUGAAGGAGGAAGAAACAGCUAGUCUACAUCCCAUACUGACUGGUAGUCCUGUCUAGACCUACUGGUAGUCCUGUCUAGACCUACUGGUAGUCCUGUCUAGACCUACUGGUAGUCCUGUCUAGACCUACUGGUAGUCCUGUCUAAACCUACUGGUAGUCCUGUCUAGACCUACUGGUAGUCCUGUCUAUACCUACUGGUAGUCCUGUCUAGACCUACUGGUAGUCCUGUCUAGACCUACUGGUAGUCCUGUCUAGACCUACUGGUAGUCCUGUCUAGACCUGCUGGUAGUCCUGUCUAGACCUGCUGGUAGUCCUGUCUACACAGACACACCUAUUAUAGUCCUGUCUACACAGAUACACCUGUUAUAGUCCUGUCUACACAGACACACCUGUUAUAGUCCUGUCAACACAGACACACCUGUUAUAGUCCUGUCUACACAGACACACCUGUUAUAGUCCUGUCUACACAGACACACCUGUUAUAGUCCUGUCUACACAGACACACCUGUUAUAGUC
rnacentral:lncRNA from 1 species